rnacentral:rRNA from 1 species
GUCUUAUUGAAAUUAAUUUUAAGUCAAAUCUGCUCANUGAAAUUUAAAUAGCUGCAGUAUAAAUAACUGUACAAAGGUAGCAAAAUAAUUAGUUUUUUAAUUAAAAACUGGAAUGAAAGAUUUAAUGAAAUAUAAACUUUAUUCAAUUUAUUUAAUAAAUUUUUUAAUUAAAUUAAAAUAUUUAAAUAUUUAUUAAAGACGAGAAGACCCUAAAGAAUUUUAUUAAUUUAAAAUUAAAUUUUUAAUUUAAAUUAAUUUAAUUGGGGAAAUUUUAAAAUAAAAUAAACUUUUAAUUAAAUAAACAUUUAUUUUUGAAUAAAUAUUAUUUUAUAAACAAAUAAAAAUAAAUUACCUUAGGGAUAACAGCAUAAUUUUUUUAAAAAGAUCAUAUUUAUAAAAAAGUUUAU